rnacentral:rRNA from 1 species
GACGAACGCUGGCGGCGUGCUUAACACAUGCAAGUCGAACGGAAAGGCCCUGCUUUUGUGGGGUGCUCGAGUGGCGAACGGGUGAGUAACACGUGAGUAACCUGCCCUUGACUUUGGGAUAACUUCAGGAAACUGGGGCUAAUACCGGAUAGGAGCUCCUGCUGCAUGGUGGGGGUUGGAAAGUUUCGGCGGUUGGGGAUGGACUCGCGGCUUAUCAGCUUGUUGGUGGGGUAGUGGCUUACCAAGGCUUUGACGGGUAGCCGGCCUGAGAGGGUGACCGGCCAGAUUGGGACUGAGAUACGGCCCAGACUCCUUCGGGAGGCAGCAGUUGGGAAUAUUGCACAAUGGGCGGAAGCCUGAUGCAGCAACGCCGCGUGCGGGAUGACGGCCUUCGGGUUGUAAACCGCUUUCGCCUGUGACGAAGCGUGAGUGACGGUAAUGGGUAAAGAAGCACCGGCUAACUACGUG